AAAGAACCCCGGGAGGGGAGUGAAAUAGAUUCUGAAACCAAUUACUUACAGUUAGUCAGAGCCCGUUAAUGGGUGAUGGCGUACAUCUUGCAGAAUGGACCGGCGAGUUAUGUCAACAUGCGAGGUUAAGUGGAUUAAAGCGAAGCCGUAGAGAAAUCGAGUCUUAAUAGGGCGCUUAGUAUGUUGAUAUAGACCCGAAACCAGGUGAUCUACCCAUGAGCAGGUUGAAACUUAGGUAACACUAAGUGGAGGACCGAACCGUAGUACGCUAAAAAGUGCCCGGAUGACUUGUGGGUAGGGGUGAAAUUCCAAUCGAACUUGGAGAUAGCUGGUUCUCUCCGAAAUAGCUUUAGGGCUAGCGUGUAGUGUUAAGUGAUGGGGGUAGAGCACUGAAUAUGGAAUGGCGGCGCCUAGCUGUACUGACUAUAAUCAAACUCCGAAUACUAUCAUGAAUUGCUAUGCAGUCGGUACAUCGGUGAUAACGUCGAUGCACGCGAGGGGAACAACCCAGAUCGUCAGCUAAGGUCCCAAAAUUGUGUUAAGUGAGAAAGGUUGUGGAGUUUCUUAAACAGCUAGGAUGUUGGCUUAGAAGCAGCCAUCGUUUAAAGAGUGCGUAAUAGCUCACUAGUCGAGAGACUCUGUGCCGAUAAUUCAACGGGACUAAAACACAAUACCGAAGCUACGGGCAUGAAAAUGCGUUAGGAGAGCGUUGUAAGGGCAUUGAAGCCAGACUGUGAAGACUGGUGGAGCGCUUACAAGUGAGAAUGCCGGUAUGAGUAACGAUUCAGAGUGAGAAUCUCUGACGCCUAUUGGGGAAGGUUUCCUGGGCAAGGUUCGUCCACCCAGGGUUAGUCGGGUCCUAAGACGAGGCCGAAAGGCGUAGCCGAUGGACAACAGGUUAAUAUUCCUGUACUUUCUAUAAAUGUGAUGGAGUGACGGGGGAGGAUAGCACUACCACUUAUUGGAUUGUGGGGUAAAUAGUGACUGGGUUAUGUAGGCAAAUCCGCAUAACUUAACCGGGAGAUAUGAUGCAUAGUGAAAGGGCAACUAAGUAGCGAAUUGGAUGAUUCCAUACCUCUUAAAAAAGCUUCUAACAUAUAGUUUAUGGAAACCCGUACCGAGAACGGACACACGUCCCCAAGAUGAGUAUUCUAAGGCGAGCGAGAAAACCAAUGUCAAGGAACUCUGCAAAUUCAUCCCGUAAGUUCGCAAGAAGGGAUGCCCACCCUAAAAAGUGGGCCGCAGUGAAUAGUAAGGGGGAACUGUUUAUCAAAAACACAGCUCUAUGCUAAGUCGUAAGACGAUGUAUAUGGGGUGACUCCUGCCCAGUGCCCGAAGGUUAAGCAAAGUUGUUAGCUUUAGCGAAGCAUUGAUGUGAAGCCCGGGUGAACGGCGGCCGUAACUAUAACGGUCCUAAGGUAGCGAAAUUCCUUGUCGGCUAAAUACUGACCCGCACGAAAGGAGUAAUUAUCUCUUAACUGUCUCGACAUUGGACUCGGUGAAAUUAUGGUUCCGGCGAAGACGCCGGAGACCCGCAUCUAGACGAAAAGACCCCGUGGAGCUUUACUAUAACUUCAUAUUGGAGUUUGAUUUAACUUGUGUAGGAUAGGUGGGAGACUAUGAUGCUUGAACGCUAGUUCAAGUGGAGUCGACGUUGAAAUACCACCCUUGUUACGUUGAACUUCUAACUUGUUACCAUGAUCUGGUAAGAGGACAGUGUGUGGUGGGUAGUUUGACUGGGGCGGUCGCCUCCUAAAGGGUAACGGAG
rnacentral:rRNA from 1 species